rnacentral:lncRNA from 1 species
GGGGUUUCGGGGCUGUGGACCCUGUGCCAGGAAAGGAAGGGCGCAGCUCCUGCAAUGCGGAGCGGCCAGGGCAGUGGGCACCAGGCUUUAGCCUCCCUUUCUCACCCUACAGAGGGCAGGCCCUUCAGCUCCAUUCUCCUCCAAGGCUGCAGAGGGGGCAGGAACUGGGGGUGACAGGAGAGCUGUAAGGUCUCCAGUGGGUCAUUCUGGGCCCAGAGAUGGGUGCUGAAGCUCCCACGCCUGCCUGUGAAAAUGGAGUCCUCUCUCACCUGGGAGAGCCAGGUGCUGCCCCGAGAAGGAUGCAUUUAUGGCUUCAUGAAGUCUUUCCUGACCCACGAUGCUGCUGACUAUAGAGACAAAGUCUCACUAUGUUGCUCAGGCUGGUCUUGAACUCCUGGCCUCAAGCGAUCCUCCCACCUUAGCCUCCCAAAGUGUUGGGAUUAUAGACAUGAGCCACUGCACCUGGCCGACCUUGGGCAAGUUCUUAAACCCUUCAAAGCCUCAUUUUUCUCCAAUCAUAAAAGGGAAAGAUGGUAAUAUUUUCCCCGCCAAAUUCUUGUAAGUAUUAAAUAUUGUAUAUGUAUGUUGAA